GCGGCCUAUCAGCUUGUUGGUGGGGUAAUGGCCUACCAAGGCGACGACGGGUAGCCGGCCUGAGAGGGCGACCGGCCACACUGGGACUGAGACACGGCCCAGACUCCUACGGGAGGCAGCAGUGGGGAAUAUUGCACAAUGGGCGGAAGCCUGAUGCAGCGACGCCGCGUGAGGGAUGACGGCCUUCGGGUUGUAAACCUCUUUCAGCAGGGACGAAGCGAAAGUGACGGUACCUGCAGAAGAAGCGCCGGCCAACUACGUGCCAGCAGCCGCGGUAAGACGUAGGGCGCGAGCGUUGUCCGGAUUUAUUGGGCGUAAAGAGCUCGUAGGCGGCUUGUCGCGUCGACUGUGAAAACCCGCGGCUCAACCGCGGGCCUGCAGUCGAUACGGGCAGGCUAGAGUUCGGUAGGGGAGACUGGAAUUCCUGGUGUAGCGGUGAAAUGCGCAGAUAUCAGGAGGAACACCGAUGGCGAAGGCAGGUCUCUGGGCCGAUACUGACGCUGAGGAGCGAAAGCGUGGGGAGCGAACAGGAUUAGAUACCCUGGUAGUUCACGCUGUAAACGUUGGGCGCUAGGUGUGGGGGACCUCUCCGGUUCUCUGUGCCGCAGCUAACGCAUUAAGCGCCCCGCCUGGGGAGUACGG
rnacentral:rRNA from 1 species